rnacentral:rRNA from 1 species
AGCGAACGCUGGCGGCGUGCCUAACACAUGCAAGUCGAACGUGAAAAGGGAAACCUGAGUAAAGUGGCGUACGGGUGAGUAACGCGUAGGUAAUCUACCCCAGAAUCUGGAAUAACCUGCCGAAAGGCGGGCUAAUACUGGAUAGAGCGAGGGAACUCGUAAGAGAGUUUUUCGGGAAAGGGAGCCCGCAAGGGCCUUCGUUCUGGGAUGAGCCUGCGUCUCAUUAGCUAGUUGGUAAGGUAACGGCUUGCCAAGGCGAUGAUGAGUAGCUGGUCUGAGAGGAUGAUCAGCCACACUGGAACUGAAACACGGUCCAGACUCCUACGGGAGGCAGCAGUGGGGAAUCUUGCGCAAUGGACGAAAGUCUGACGCAGCCACGCCGCGUGAGUGAAGAAGGCCUUCGGGUUGUAAAGCUCUGUCGGAUGGGACGAACAUCUUCAUAGUGAAUAGCUAUGAGGACUGACGGUACCAUCAAAGGAAGCACCGGCUAACUCCGUG